CGAUGAUGGGAGGGUACCCCUUAUGUAUAUCAUUCACUACUAUAUUUCUUAAUAUGAUAUGUAUGCGAUUGCUGCUUUUACCAUGUUUUACACAAUUCGCACAAUGUUUUUCAGGCCGCUGCACUCCUAGAGCCCCACGGCUAUCGUUGUCACUGUUGUAAUAAUAUAUUGUUUUAUCGUUGAAUUAAUCAAGCCCACACUAUAGGUACUUACGUACCAUAG